rnacentral:lncRNA from 1 species
GUCAAUGAUUGAUGGGAUUACAGUGGCAAUUUAAGGAAGUUCUGGACUUGGGGCUUGGUGGUAGUGCAUAGUAAAAGAAUGAGCUCUUUUGUGCUUGAAAGCUUCACUCUCAGUCAUUCCUUACUGCCUGAUUUCCCUCAACUUUACCUCUCUGUUCAAAGGGGUAGAGUUGGGGUAAAAGGGAACCAUAGGAAUAGGAGUGCUUAAACAGAAAACAAAGGCGGUUGUAUAGGGCAAAAAAUGCAAGAAAUAUAUAAUUUCCUCCAGUGAUUCAAAUCAUUGAAAUUUGGUAGAACAUAAGAACUUGAGGAGGUCAUGGGAAAGAGAGGAACAGUAAAAGAAGAAAUGAUUUAACCUUAUUUUAUUAUUUUUCAGUCUAUG